CCCCCGCCGCAAGUGGAUAAUAUUAAUAGUGUAAAAAUAUGGAAGUGUUCGGUAAACAGGAAGUUGUCGAGUGAUGAAUCUGAAAACGCAUCACACGGUAUAGCUGACUUAUAAAAAUCCUGAAACCAAAUUUCAGAAAUCCUUGUAUUGUAGUUCCUGAGAAAAAUGUGACGAAAAUUUUUAACUUGGUUAUCAUGUGUAAAAUCAUACAAGUGUUCGGUAAACAGGAAGUUGUCGAGUGAUGAAUCUGAAAACGCAUCACACGGUAUAGGUGACUUAUAUAAAUCCUGAAACCAAAUUUCAGAAAUCCUUGUAUUGUAGUUCCUGAGAAAAAUGUGACGAAAAUUUUCAACUUGGCUAUCAUGUGUAAAAUCAGACAAGUGUUCGGUAAACAGGAAGUUGUCAAGUGAUGAAUCUGAAAACGCAUCACACGGUAUGGCUGACAUAUAUAAAUGUUGAUACCAAAUUACAGAAAGGGUGGAUGUGUAGUUCCUGAGAAAAAUGUGACGAAAGUUUCAUGGGACGGACGGACUGACUGACGGACGGACGGACUGACGGACGGACCGACUGACUGACG
rnacentral:lncRNA from 1 species